UGCGCCCUACGGGGCGCAGCAGUGGGGGAUAUUGCACAAUGGGGGGAACCCUGAUGCAGCGACGCCGCGUGGGUGAAGAAGUAUUUCGGUAUGUAAAGCCCUAUCGGCAGGGAAGAAAUUGGACGGUACCUGACUAAGAAGCCCCGGCUAACUACGUGCCAGCAGCCGCGGUAAUACGUAGGGGGCAAGCGUUAUCCGGAUUCACUGGGGGUAAAGGGAGCGGAGACGGCCAUGCAAGCCUGGAGUGAAAGCCCGGGGCCCAACCCCGGGACUGCUCUGGGAAAUGUGCGGCUGGAGGUCGGGAG
rnacentral:rRNA from 1 species